rnacentral:rRNA from 1 species
UACGGGGGGAGCAAGCGUUGUUCGGAUUUACUGGGCGUAAAGGGCGCGUAGGCGGCCACCGCAAGUCGACUGUGAAAUCUCCGGGCUUAACUCGGAACGGUCAACUGAUACUGCGCGGCUAGAGUGCAGAAGGGGCAACUGGAAUUCUCGGUGUAGCGGUGAAAUGCGUAGAUAUCGAGAGGAACACCUGCGGCGAAGGCGGGUUGCUGGGCUGACACUGACGCUGAUGCGCGAAAGCCAGGGGAGCGAACGGG